rnacentral:rRNA from 1 species
GUGGGGAAUAUUGGACAAUGGGGGAAACCCUGAUCCAGCGACGCCGCGUGUGUGAAGAAGGCCUGCGGGUUGUAAAGCACUUUUAGUGGGGAGGAAAAGCUCGGACCUAACACGUCCGGGAAUUGACUUAACCCAAAGAAAAAGCACCGGCUAACUCUGUGCCAGCAGCCGCGGUAAUACAGAGGGUGCAAGCGUUAAUCGGAAUUACUGGGCGUAAAGCGUGCGUAGACGGUUAUCUAAGUCGGGUGUGAAAUCCCCGGGCUCAACCUGGGAAUUGCAUUCGAGACUGAAUAGCUAGGGUACGGAAGAGGGAAGUGGAAUUUCCGGUGUAGCGGUGAAAUGCGUAGAUAUCGGAAGGAACAUCAGUGGCGAAAGCGACUUCCUGGUCCAGUACCGACGUUCAGGCACGAAAGCGUGGGGAGCAAACAGGAUUAGAAACCCGGGUAGUCC